rnacentral:rRNA from 1 species
UACAGAGGGGGCAAGCGUUGUUCGGAAUUACUGGGCGUAAAGGGCGCGUAGGCGGCCUGCUAAGUCGAACGUGAAAUCCCCGAGCUCAACUCGGGAACUGCGUCCGAUACUGACAGGCUUGAAUCCGGGAGAGGGAUGCGGAAUUCCAAGUGUAGCGGUGAAAUGCGUAGAUAUCUGGAGGAACACCGGUGGCGAAGGCGGCAUCCUGGACCGGCAUUGACGCUGAGGCGCGAAAGCUAGGGGAGCAAACGGG